rnacentral:lncRNA from 1 species
CGGGAACUUCCUCCCCUGCAGAGACCACCUCGCUCCCGGGACUCGCCAGCGAGGGAUGCCGCCGGCCGCCGGGGGCCUUCUCCAGGACCAGGAGAGAAAUCCUCUCUCCGCUUCACGACGCGGCCACUCCCACCCCUGAGACGCCCACCUGGCGGACUCUGAGGGAGGAUUCGGCUGCGUCUAAUACCACCUCCACCCCUCAUCCCUCACAAUGCGCGGAAAACCACAGGCGGCUGUGCGCGCAGCGUCGGCUCAGCCACCGCAGCUCCUCCCCUGGGAUGAAAAAGCACUCUGACGUCUUGAAAGCUGGCAGCUCUCUGUUUGGAAAAUCUCUGCCCAGUGAAAAAAUGUACCGACAAGAUUACUAAGUAACACAGUCUUCUGGGAAUGCCUUAUCAAUGCCAGCUAUUUGAAGAGCACCCAAAGUCAAACUAGUGCUCCGCGCUGGCAGUCUGGAAAAGGCAGAUGUAUAAACCAAAAAGGAUGGAGUUCAGAGACCUUCCAUGUUGAUGAACAAGAACACAUUCACCUGCUGUAGGGGUAGGUGUACCCCAAAACUCCACUGAUACAGAAGCUUCUAUACUCAAGACCCUUCUAUACUCAAGACCCUGGAUCUUACCCUAUAUAUCUCUUCAUCUGGCUAUUUAUUUGCAUCUUUUAAUAUAUCCUUUGUAAUAAACUAGUAAUCUAGAAAGCAAACUUUUCCUAGCUCUGUAGGCCAUUCUAGUAAAUGAUUAAACCUGAGGAGGAGUUAUGGGAACCUUUGAUUUGUAGACAAGUUGGACAAAAGUGGUAUAUAUCCUAAUAUAACAUGGGAACCUGCCACUUAUGAUUGGCGUGUGAAAUUGGGGGAUGGGGAAGCAGUCUUGUGGGACUGAGCCCUUAGCCUGUGGGGUCUAAUGCUAUCUUCAGGUAAUAUCAGAACUGAGUUAAAUUAUAGGAUACCAGUCAGUGUCCAUUGGAGAACUGAAUUAUUGUGAGGAGAAACCCACACAUUUGGUGGCUAAAAGUAUUGAUGUGAGUAGUAGCAUAUAGGAGUUUUUUGCUAUAUACAUAUGUAGUGUAAGUUUAAAGUAAAAAGUUUUGUAUUGUCAGGAGUGACUUCUUUGCACCUAAAUAUCACUGCUAUAACUGCGUUACUAAGGAAUAGUUGCUUGCUUUUAUGUAUUUGGCACCUGCAGCUACUGUUCUAAAAAGUUUGCAUGUGUUAACCUAUUAAUUAAAUCUACAAAUGACUGGCUGUACCCAUGAAGUGAGUUAUUCUAAAGACAAUGGAACAUUUAAAUGGUUUAGAAAUUUUUUGAUUAAAAAUACAUUAAUAAUAUCUCCUAAA